GUUGUAACUUGCAUUCACACAGCAAGGUAAUGGCAGGGCUGGGAACUGAAUUUAAAAUUCUUGAUUCUCGGGUCCUAUAAAACAUAAUCUCUGCAAUGCUUUUUAUCCUAAAAUGAAAGUUACCCUUCCCUGGCAGUAUUGCCAACCCUGCAUAUUCAAAUAUUGUGGGGUUUUGUUUUAUUUAAUAAUAAUCCCUGUUCUUCUA